UUUCGCGCGCACCCACUCCUCUGACGACAUAGGCCGAACCCGGAAAACGGUUCUUGUGUAAGCGUCCUUUCAUUCAAAGUCCUACCUAUUGAUUAAUAACGGGGGUGUCCCCUGUACUACACAACACGAUAUUGAACCGCAGGUUUAAAUUGUGAUACUAGUUUAGUUUAUCUUAUGCAUUUACUGGUUUAGUCAUGCCGACCUCCCCUGUUAAGACACGGAUCCCUCUGACCAGCUUCGGUCAUCUCAUCACAGAAGUGAAGAGACAACUGUUUGGCAUUGAGGCGCCAGCUGCAGUGGAUCUGAUUGGAUGGAAGAAAUACUUCAACAGCUACACACUGCAGGGGCGGCGUAAUUGUGUGUUGGCAACUUAUGGUGUCUUGUUCUGUUCAGUAUCAGCCUAUUGGAUGUACAGACAAAGAAAACAAGAGCCGCCCACACCAACGGUCUAAACUAAGGAUUGGUCUACUCCUCCUCUUUCAGUUCUUCAACAUUGUUUGUAUUAAUAAAACCCAGCUGUGUGCCUAGAACCUUCUACCUCUAAGUCCUUUUGUAGAUGUGGAAUUUGUGUGUUGAAUUGUGUUUUUUCUUUUUUAAAUUGGAAGAAUCCAACAAUGUUUGUCUGUAUGCCAACACAUCAGGCCAGGCUAAUAAUAAAUAAAAACAUUCUUAAGUGUUUUUAAUUCUACAUCUUUGUAUAGUGGCAAGUAAUUAGAUAAAUUGCGUCAGACUUCGGAUCCUUACUGAUUAACAUAAUGGUUUUCUGAGCAAAUGUCUGCAAAUUGACUAACGUUUUUAUUAUUUUAGACCAGCAAAAACAGCUUCGUUAUAAUAGUAUAGGACCAAAUAAUACAUAAUUUCUUCGAAGGAUAUGUCGAGACGUUUUUUAAACAAAUUACAUGAUUGUCAUUGCGACGCCAAAAAGCAUUAAAUCCCUAAUUGCAGACUACUGCAAGUAUAUGGGUGACUUGACAUGACAUGGAUUUCUCUGAAACCACGUGAUAUGCCUGCAAAAGCAAAAGCGAAAGUUUAGACCCAACUGCAAAGUGCAGGGGGACAUGACUAUGUGAUAGCGUAGGUUGUGCCGAUUGCAAAUAUAUGUUGAAAAUAUAUGUGUAGCAAACAAAAAAACAAUAUAAUUAAGGCGCUCGAAGAAAAGACGGAGGACAAGACGCUGUGUUUUCUCUUUUCAAAUGACCGGACUAUUCCACUAUCAGUAACCAAACUCCACCCACUCAUUACAAAACCUUUGCACAUUUAAACCGAAAGCUCACUAACGUUUUGUGAUAACGUUUGGUCGCGGGAGUCAUUUUCUCUCCUAUUUUUAUUUAUAAAUUGCACAAUUACUUGAUUUAAAAAUAUAUAAGGUUGUACGUGCAUUUCAUGAACGAACUAUACUCUCCCAACGUAAAUCGUGAGAACUGAUGCUGCCAGCCGGAAAAAGUCCAAGUUCUUCUGGACAUCCUGAAUGGGUUUGGGGUGCGAAAGUGUCGGGAAUGACAGAUGUUCUUCCCAAGAGAACGUCGCUUUGAAGUGGGUCGUAGGUGGCCAAGUGCUGGGGUCUCCGCGAUAGAAUUAUCCAUGUCAGUCUGGCAAGACGAAGAGACUCAGCCCUCAGGCAGAACCUCAGAGUA